rnacentral:lncRNA from 1 species
CUUCCAACUGACUUAUUCUAUAACUAAAUUCACGUAAUUUAAAAAUUUUAGUUAUUUAUGUAAUUCCACUGGCGAAAUUCUUAUUGCACCACGUGCAGUGCAGAAUGAGAUGCACCGCGCAUGGCGAUUGGCGCGGAACCCCCCCCGUGAAAUUUUUUUUUUUCCCCGACCAUACCCCCCCAAACAAAACCCUCACGGUGACCAAUCACCGCACGCGGUACUAGAUUUCUGCACCACAUGCGGUGCACAAAGAAUCACUCAUUCCAUAGAUAUGUUCUUGUGAGGGCCCAUCCAAUCAUAUAUUCAUAUUAGUAAAAAGGAUUCUACAUCUAAUGGUGCUGGUGA